GUUUGACAGUAAACAUAGUAUGCAUGCGUGUCAAAUACAUGGUAGUGUGUGUAAUGUUUUCUUUAUUGAUUUAAUGUAUCUUUUAUGCAUUAUGUAAAAAAAAAAUUAGCAUUGUGCACUUCUUCUCUAUAUCCUCUAUAGCUUAGCGGUGGUCAGCACAACAUUCAAUUGCUCACGAAUUGAACACUUAUCUUCUGCUACCAUGAAAACUCGAAGUAGUCGAACAUUCGAAAAUAAAUGCGAAAUUAACUCGUAAA